AUAAUUAUUAAGUCGGAAUAAAUCUUAGCUAAGCUACGACACGUUCGUGAUUAAUUGCUUUUUCUUUAGUUAUGCAUUGUUUUAAUUAGGCAGAGGUGAAAAUAUGCGAUUUUGACUAACAUUUUUAAUCGGCCUCCUACAUGCUUAUUUUUUCUCCACUUGUCAUGAAAAGCAUGUCAUUCAAUAGCUAAAAGCCUGAUCUUUCCGAAUAUGAAAACCAAUUGUUC